ACCCUUAGCAUCGUUUUUUACCAAGGUGGGUCAUCCUCGCAACCGCCGACUCAACUCGGAAGGAUCCACGAUGAGUGGCUACGGCAUGAUCGGGUUUAACCACGAAGGAAGGAGACGAAGUCAGCGAUCAACACCAACGUGCAUGCUAAGGUGAAUACGAAGUCGAUGAGUAACCUUUAAAUGCAAUAGUACGACGAAACCCUAGGCGUGCUCAACGCCCAUCCGUUUGU
rnacentral:lncRNA from 1 species